rnacentral:lncRNA from 1 species
CUAAAUGUAAUGUACUCGUAUAGCCUUCCCAUCAGUUGCUCAUACCAAGCGGCAAGCGCCCCAGUCUUAUAAGAUGUGCUUGAAUUUGAUAUAAUUAUUAUUGUUGCACAGCUCAGCACAUAAUAUGUGCAGUGCAGUGCAUUCCAACUUUCAUUAUCAUUUAAUAUGUUAUCUUUUAUUCGAGAUACCGUUAGUACAAACUCCGUGUUAAAAAAAAUUGAAUAAAUAUGAAAAAAUUAAAAGUAUCAAAACUAUUUGUCAGUUAUUUCUUAAUUGCAUUGCAUGCAUAUUUUACGUAAAUGAAUACUUCUUUAAAUAUACUUACUAAUAAAUGAGACUAAUUACUAGGAAAUCAAAUCAAAAUAGGCAAUUUCGUAUUAAAUACCACACAAAUAAAUGAAAUAAAUACCUCGUUCUCAAAGUAUUGCUUUUAUACAAUUUUGUAAGGAUUGUAGCGAAAACGAAAAAGUAGUGGUAAAACAUUUAAGUUGGUAACCCUGACGCCCCUUGUGACGCCACGAACAGCCGCACGCACACCAGUCCGCCAUCUUUCUUACCUUUUUGAUUGUUGACUUCAUGACUUGUAAAUUUUGUAAUUAGUUUUUGCCGACGUCCACCGUGCCGUUUUUUAAGUAAUUUUUGGUAUUUUACAAAUUGUGUUACUUUAGUGGACACGUGGAGACAUGGACGCUGACUGUUGGAAGAAUUCGUCAAUUCAGACUGGCGCAAAGAGCUAUCAGGGGUCGAUGCCAGGAAUUUCAUUGCGAGACAGAAUUCGAAAUGAGGAUAUUCGCCAACGCAAUAAAGUUACCGACAUUGCAAAAAGGAUUAACUCAAGUGGGAAUGGACCGGCUAUAUUUUUCGCAGAGAUGACGAUCAAUGGGGUCGCCUAGUAUUGCUGUGGAGACCUAGCCUGGGUGGCCGAGGUGGCGGGAAACCACGAGCAGAUGGUCGGAUGACAUCAAAAAAGGGCAGGGCCCACCUGGCACAGAACCGUCACAUAUAGAACGGAGUGGAAACCCACGGAAUGCAGACCAGGAUUAUAUACUUUAGGUAUGAGUUUGUUACUUUUGCUCAUAAUAACAUGGAGUAUGUCACAGCUGCUCCACGGGCUGCAUUGAGGGGCAACAGGAGCGAAAAUGUUAAAAUGGAAAGGAGCUCCCCCUUUCAAUUAGGGAAUCUUAGGAUAUGCUAAGGCAAACAGAAGGAGGCAAGGAACGGGACGGGACUGCAUCAAUUGCUGUCUGGAACCAAUCUUGUGGGAUGACUUCUGGACAGGGAAAAAACAAUUUCAUCAUCUACCCUAAUACUGACGAAUGUUCUAAAACGUGCUGUAAGGCAGACAUUUCCAAAUGUAACGGAGGAAAGUUUCGAGACAUGUAAUGGUUUCAACACGCUGCUGAGACCCAACUCAAGAGACGUCAGUUUGUACUGUUUAGUCCAUUCUCUAUUGGGCAUGCUUGUAUUGAGAGGUAUAUAUAUUGGAGUACAGACAUGGUGUUUGGUAUGAGUAUUAUAUACAUCCUCUUGAGUCAAAUAGGACCGGUAGCCACUUUGAACUCCGUGUCCGAAAGGGUCAAAGUAUGGAGCUCCCGGUACUCAGAAAAAAAAUUCUGGCCUAUUAGUUUUGAACUUUCGAGUCAAGUUUGGUGUCAUUUUUAUGUAAACUAUUCGUUUCGUUUUUAAAUUGAAGAAGAUUAAAAAUCACAGUAAUAUUAUAAAGGCAAAAGUUUGUGAGCAUACUGUGUUUGUUACUUCCUCACGCCACGCCCAAGUGCCUUAACAAAUAUUAUUUAUAAAAUUAAGUAUGGAGGAAGUACGAUAUACCCUAAGUUAACACGUCACUUCUUCUUGAUCGUGGGUAACACUCGGGGCGCAGUAUAAUGAUUAUUAAAAAUCUUUAUGCUGUCCCCUAUGCUGCGAUGGCGAUCGUUGCAGUACUUUCAAUAUUUUUUUUACAUCAAAUAUUAGAAUCAUCAAAGAUUACUAAUAAAAUAGGCUUUUUAGAAAUAUUUUUUAAAAAUCAUGAUUAGUAUAAAAAUACGGAAAUAUGAGGAUUUGUUUGCAUUUCGUGGCUACUAAAAAUUCAUUUAAAUUAUUAAAUAUUGUGCUAUAUUUUGCUAUGGAACCCUAAAAAAGUAGUUACAUAAAAAUGACACUAAAAUUGACUCAAAAGCUCAAACUAAUCGGCCAGAAUUUUUUUCUGAGCAGCAGGAGCUCCAUACUUUGACCCCCUCUCCCCCUUCGGACACGGAGUUCAAAGUGGCUACCGGUCUUGUUUGACUCGGGAGGACGUGUAUAAUACCCAUACUAAACGCCAAUGCUCUACUCAAAAAUUCACCUUUUCCCAAUAGAGAACGGACUGUGUUAGACAGUGCAUGUUGUUACACGGUAAAUUUUUCUAGAAGACCAAAUUUAUAAGUUCCUUAGUUAUUCUAUUUUUAACUAAAUAAGUUCUUGUACUAUAAGCAGUGAUCGGAAUAGGCAGAGUAGAUAUAUUUAUUUUUAAACGAAAUGACUUCCUUGCGAUAGUAUUUUUUCAGUACAGAUGGUGUUUUUUUUACGCACUAGUGCGAGAAGUGGUUCAUUAUACGCCAGG